AAGCCUUAUCAUGGUAGUAGUUGUCUAACAACUUAUUCAAAGAAUAAGUCAUGAAUGUGUAAAUAUGUACUAAUUUAAACUUUUAAACUAUGAAUGACUCAUUAAAUUAGUUAUAUUUUAUUUUUUAGGGUAUCUACUGAAUCAUCAUAGUAAUUCUAGAGCUAAUACAUGCAACAAACUCCAGCUUUCGGAAGGAAUGUUUUUAUUAGAUAAAAAUAUUUACGUAAGUUCUACACAUUGCUUUGAUUAUUCAUGAUAACUUGUUGGAUCACAUAACUCUUAUGUCGACGAUGCAUCAUUCAAAUUUAUGUCCUAUCAACUUUUGAUAGUAGGAUAGUGGCCUACCAUGGUGGUAACACGUGACAAUGACUUAGGGUUCAAUUUCAAAAACAGGACGGAAGAAAUGACUACCACAUCCAAGGAAGGUAGUAGGUGUGCAAAUUACUCAAUCCUAAUAUGGGGAGGUGGUGAUAAUAAGUAACAAUAUAUAAUAGCAUUUAAAUCCCUUAAUGAUUAAUUGGAGGGCAAGUUUAGAGUUAACAAUUGCGAAAAUUCCAGCUCUAAUAGAAUAUAUUUAAGUUGUUGUACUUAGAAAGUUUGUAGUUGGACCUUGGGUUUGGUUGAUCUAUCUACCUCUAGUGAGCAUCGGUACACUCAUCCCUUCUAUCGGAGAUGCACUCCUGGCCUUAAUUAGUUGGACUGUCCCUCAAGUGUUGUUAUUUUGAAGAAAUUAGAAUGCUUAAUGUAAAAACCUUGAAAAAUAGAUAAAUUUUUAUGGUACAGUAAAAAAACAAUGUUAUAAUAAAAUAUGUAUAAUGUUACAGUAAAAUAGGUAUAAUGCAACAAUAAAAUACAUAUUUUGUUAAGUGUGAUAUUAGGUCUGAAAAGUAAAUGAAGGAUAGAGUUAAGUAAGUGUUAAGUGUGGUAUUAGGUGUAAAUAGUAAAUGGAGGACAAAGUUAAGUUUGGUUUGCUAUAUAUAUAUAUAUA
rfam:Vigna angularis cultivar Jingnong 6 scaffold183_88, whole genome shotgun sequence.